UCUCUUAGCUGAGCUCCAGCUUCUUUCCAGGCUCCUGGCAAACAGAGAGAGGCAACAGCAGGGCUGGGUCACAAGGUUCCAACGCGUAGAGCAACUUUACUUCAUCUCUGUCCAUCCUGCUACCCUGGCAAAAAGGCAGCCCUGCACUCUGAUUGGCUAAAGAGCACCGCUGAGACCCAAACCGUGAAGUGAAGUUGGUCUGGCUCUCUCUCUUCACAGAAGGACCAGAGAGCAGCACAUACGUCCUGCGGACUGUGACCCGAAGUGUAACCCCUCCGUUUACCUCAGAGUGUCACAGAAAUCAGUAUUUGGAAAUAUUUUUAGGUGGAAGCACUCACGUUUAAAGAUACUUGCUUAGUUUUGUAAGAUAGUUGUUUCCAGCCAGGUGGUGGUGGCGCACACCUUUAAUCCCAGCACUCAGGAGGCAGAGGCAUGCGGAUCUUUGUGAGUUCGAGGCCAGCCUGGUCUAUAGAGCGAGUUCCAGGACAGGCUCCAAAGCUACACAGAGAAACCCUGUUUCAAAACAACAACAACAACAACAACAACAACAACAACAACAACAAGAUAGUUGUUCCCAAAUCACAGAAAGAAAUUUAUUUCAAAUGCGUAAGGAACAUGGAGAUAAACAAGUGUGCUGUAGAACAAAAUCAUCCAUGCUAUGAAGCUUCUCCUUCAAAUCUUUGAGUUAUACUGUAACUUAAGUUGUACACUGUUGCUUUGGGAAAGGGAAGGUGAACUUCAAAAUCAUCAUCAUCACCAUCAUCAUCAUCUGCUUUUGAAACAGGAUCUCACUGUAGUUUAAGUUGCCUCAAAUGAUGGUAAUCCUCCUGUCUCAGCCUCCUGAGCAUUGGGAUUACAAACAUGUGCCACAAGCCUGGCUUUACAAAAUGGUUUUGAAAUGCAGAAAAACGUCUCUUUCCCCAUAAAACAGACCUAACAAUUUGGGACUUGGUACCGGCAUCAACGUUCAGCCUUUCCCGGUGGGAGAUGUUUCCUUUCCAGCUUUGUGUUUUCAGCCCCAGCUCUGCUACGGUUCUGAGUGGAAGACUGGAGCAGGGACUCUUGCCUUGUCUGCUAGGCUUCUGACCUGGAGAGAAUAAACAAAAUCUCCACGGUUUCUUUCCCGUGGCUGUCAAGGCCAUGCCAGCUCUCUGCAGACAGCGACUGAUCGACCGACCAACUCGCCUCUUCUUUCCUUUGGGUGGGAUCCCUAUGGGCCAUAGCUUCCUGAAGAAAUUAAUAUAUUAAGGUCUGCCAGCCUGACAUCUUUCAAGCAGUGUUAUAGGAACAGCUGUGAACUCUGCCACACCCCUAGCAUCUGAAUAGGUAACCUUAAGAUCUUUCCCACCCCUAAGUUCUGUGCUAUUGAAGGAAAUAAACACAAUUUUUGUUUCACCCCA